rnacentral:rRNA from 1 species
UACGGGGGGUGCGAGCGUUGUCCGGAAUCACUGGGCGUAAAGGGCGCGUAGGCGGCUUUGUAAGUUAGAGGUGAAAGCCCAGGGCUUAACCCUGGAAUUGCCUUUAAGACUGCAUCGCUAGAAUCGUGGAGAGGUGAGUGGAAUUCCGAGUGUAGAGGUGAAAUUCGUAGAUAUUCGGAGGAACACCAGUGGCGAAGGCGGCUCGCUGGCUCGAUACUGACGCUGAGGUGCGAAAGCGUGGGGAGCAAACAGG